UCACUUGUUGGGUGAACAGCUAGUGACAGAAAAUAUAGUACAUUCUAAAUUGGCUAUUCUCAGAUGACUAGAAGGCCAAGUGAAAAUAUCUCCAUGGCAUCAUCCAAUGACGCAGCUGGUCAGUCACACGGACAUGACUUAACAGUCUCUGAGCAUACAGUUGCUUCUCUUGCUCCAGGGCCAUUUGGGUGUGGGAGGAGUGGGAAGAAAGAGAAAUCUCUCCUUGGAACAGCUGUCCUCUUUCUUUCGGCACACAGCGAGCUUUCCAUCCACUUAAGAUGAAUGCAUGCGAAGGCUGCAAAGUCUGCGAGACUUUCCUGAUUAGCAUCUAAAUCCUUUGCCUCUAUCUCCUCUUUCCCAAACUUAAAUCAAUAUUUUUAUCACCCUGUUCAGAAUGCCGUGCUCAAGCUGAAUGAAAUCACAGCUCAGAGAGAAACACCAGGGCCCCUGGCGCUGCAGACUCAGACGGAGUCCAUGAGUUCCAGCCUUUGAAAAGCUGAUUUGAGUCCAUCACUAGCACCUCUCCAUCUCAGAAUGUUGUCGUCAUGGCUGUCCCUGAUGUCUCCAAGGUCUUCAUUGGCACAGUGCUAGAAUCAGCACUGGCUGUGUUUGAGAAGUGGGAAGGUGCUACAGAAGCAUUUGACUUUGGGCUCCACUAAGUACUCCUCCUGAGAGAGUGUUCAUUGCAGACCUUUCAGCAGAAAUCUACUAUUCUGUGCUAGAGCCCUGUCAGUACAGUUCUAAGACAAGACUGGAAAAUUAGAGAAGACUAGAGUGGGAGAAAUGCCACCUGCAGCAGAUAAGACUCUGAGCCAAGACGGGGUCUUUUUGACUCUUCGCCAUGAGAACUGGGUAGAGUUCCUGAAGGUCCCUGUGGGACUUCUGGGCCUUCUUUUGUCCCCAGUUUCUUGUAGGCAAGACUCCAGCCUCCAUGACCUUCCCUGAGUUCCAAAGGGUGGAUUCAAGCAGUUGCUAAUCAAGGGAGAAGCAGCCAAGAAACCACCUGAGGCAAGAUUAAAGGGACCAGAGAAGAUCAUCAAGAUUAGGAGACUGCUGUGGCCCCCUUUGCCUGGCAAAGCAAUAAAGCUAUCCUUUUCUAGUUCACCCAAAACUGUGUCUCCAAGAUUCCACUCAGCACUGGUGCAGAAAGCUUUUGGCAUCAAUUCUAGCAACUUAUUGAACCUAAGGGAAUAGUGGGAACCCAUAAAAUUGUAGACAGCAGAGGGAAGUGAAGGUGGCCUGGAAAACUGCACACUAGCACUGGUGUCUGAAGUGAGAACACACUUAUGAAACAGGAGGGAAGAGGGCAGGGCACAACCUUUAAAAGAAUGACAGAGCCUGAGGACACAAUAUAAACUGAUUAGAACCAAAUAGGUCCAAGAUGGCAGACGAGUCAACCUCCACUAGACCUUGUGCCUCAGUAUAAGCUCAUUGUAACAUCAGCAAGCUAAAUGACACACCCACAGGUGCCAUGACAGUUCCAAGCCCAACCAUAAAGGUCAAAAAGUGGGCGGUGAUCCAAUUCCUGGAUAUCCCCACCCCUUCCCCCAAAUAGCUGGAAUACUCCUCCCACUCAUUAGCCUAUGAAAUUACCCACCCCUAUGAAAACUGAUAAUCCUGUACCCUGGUGUUGCUCUCGCCUUCUGAGAUAGCCCACACUCUGUCUGUGGAGUGCGUUUCUCUCUAAAUAAAUCUAC